AUGGGUUUCAGAGAUAUACAUUGUUCCAAUCUGGCUUUGUUAGCCAAACAAGCAUGGCGUUUGAUUGAUAAUCCCAACUCCUUAUGUGCUUUUCUACUGAGAGCUAAAUAUUUCCCGGAAGGGGAUUUAAUGAAUGCAACCCUAAAAAAAGGUUCCCUUUUUACUUGGCAAAGUAUUAUGGCGGGAGUGUGUUCUCUAAAAAUGGUUAUAUCUGGCGGGUUGGAAAUGGAGAAAAUAUUGAUAUUUAGAGAGAUGCAUGGAUUCCAAAUUGUGCGAAUAGGAGUCAUUACUCCUAGAAGGGGGCAUCUUUUGCAAAAGGUUUAUGAUCCCAUUGAUCCAGUCACGAGUUCUUGGGAUGAAGAUUUGGUGAGACAAACGUUGUGGCCAAUUUUUCGAUAA
rnacentral:rRNA from 1 species